rnacentral:snRNA from 1 species
AUGUCAUGAAGAUGAAAAACGAGA